GGGCAAUCAGGCAUCAGAAUUCAUCGAUAUGUAACCCUGAUCGAAAAAUCCCAACCAGUGGGACUCUUGACCCCGGUACCCAUAAUGUGUGAAACUCAUGAUCAGAGAAUCCUGAUUCUUAUUCACUGAGUCCCAAAUAUGUAGGAUUCUACAUCAGCCAUCAGAUCAGAUAGGAACCUCUAAUGUGUGUGACCCCACAAGUUCGAACCUAAGCCAGUAGCACAGGAACCAAUUCCUAUACUAAUCGAAGUGACCAUCUAGCAAUGGUAUGCGACGUUCGGAU
rnacentral:lncRNA from 1 species